UACAGAGGUGGCAAGCGUUGUUCGGAAUUACUGGGCGUAAAGGGCGCGUAGGCGGUCCGAUAAGUCCGCGUGAAAGACCCCGGCCUCAACUGGGGAACGUGCGCGGGAAACGUGACGGACUUGAGUUCGGGAGAGGGAAGCGGAAUUCCGGGUGUAGCGGUGAAAUGCGUAGAUAUCCGGAGGAACACCGGUGGCGAAGGCGGCUUCCUGGACCGACACUGACGCUGAGGCGCGAAAGCUAGGGGAGCAAACGGGAUUAGAUACCCU
rnacentral:rRNA from 1 species